AUGGCCGGCGCAUCAUCACGACUUCUGAUUUUUCUCAUAUUUUUACAUGGGAACAGGGGAGCUUUGGAGCUUGUGUCUAGACUACAAUCUAACCAUCAAAAUAGGCAGCAGCUUCAUCCGCCUAUAGUGAAGUACUCCUGGACCAUGAUCCAUCCCUUGCGAAAAUGUUUGGCCAAUCAAAAUGUGACUCCUCUGAUAACUGCGGUGAUUAGAGGCCACCUCAAGGUAGUGAACCUUCUGCUGGAGCAAGUUUCUGGGUUGAUUGAACUACCAAAGGCAAACAGAACAACAAUUGCACAUACCCUUUAUUUUCCUGGUACAAGGAGUCUCCAGACACGACAAAGUAUGUAUCUACAUCUGAAAAUUUUCUUAGCUUUUCCAGAAAUAUGA
rnacentral:rRNA from 1 species